UAGAACAGCUCACUCUGAGACAGCAGCACUGUACUGUCUGAGUGUGAGCUGCGGGGAGAAAGUCUCCCUCCCUCCCACCUCUGCAGCUGACAGAAGUUGAUUUUUACCUUCAUUUUUUCAAUCCCUGUCGGCUGAGGAGUGGAGGGAGCGUGGCCUAACCAGAUCUGGGCAUGGCUUAGCGUGACCUAGUAGUUGAUUUCUAACUUUAUUUUUUCAAUCUCAGUCGGCUGAGGAGCCAUUCACAUUUCCGAAAUAAUAGG